GAUGAAGAACGCAGCAAAAUGCGAUAAGUAAUGUGAAUUGCAGAAUUCAGUGAAUCAUCGAAUCUUUGAACGCACAUUGCGCCCGCCAGUAUUCUGGCGGGCAUGCCUGUUCGAGCAUCAUUUCAACCCUCAAGCACAGCUUGGUGUUGGGACUCGCGUUAAUUCGCGUUCCCCAAAUUGAUUGGCGGUCACGUCGAGCUUCCAUAGCGUAGUAGUAAAACCCUCGUUACUGGUAAUCGUCGCGGCCACGCCGUUAAACCCCAACUUCUGAAUGUUGACCUCGGAUCAGGUAGGAAUACCCGCUGAACUUAAGCAUAUCAAUAAGCGGAGGA
rnacentral:misc_RNA from 1 species